rnacentral:rRNA from 1 species
GACGAACGCUGACGGUGUGCUUUAGACAUGCAAGUCGAACGAGAAAGCCCUUCGGGGUUAGUAAAGUGGCGAACGGGUGAGUAACACGUGGGCAAUCUGCCCCUCGCAGGGGGACAACCGGAGGAAACCCCGGCUAAUACCCCGUAAGUUCAAAGGGAGGCAUCUCCCCUUGAAGAAAGGUAGCUUCGGCCAUCCGGCGAGGGAUGAGCCCGCGGUGCAUUAGCUAGUUGGUGGGGUAACGGCCCACCAAGGCGACGAUGCAUAGCUGGUCUGAGAGGAUGAUCAGCCACACUGGGACUGAGACACGGCCCAGACUCCUACGGGAGGCAGCAGUCGGGAAUCUUGCGCAAUGGGACGAAAGCCCUGACGCAGCAACACCGUGUGUGUGA